rnacentral:rRNA from 1 species
UACAGAGGUCCCAAGCGUUGUUCGGAUUUACUGGGCGUAAAGGGUGCGUAGGCGGUUGAGAAAGUCCGGUGUGAAAUCUUGAAGCUUAACUUCGAAACCGCAUUGGAUACUUCACAACUAGAGAAGUGGAAGGGAGACUGGAAUUCUCGGUGUAGCAGUGAAAUGCGUAGAUAUCGAGAGGAACACCAGUGGCGAAGGCGAGUCUCUGGACACUAUCUGACGCUGAGGCACGAAAGCCAAGGGAGCAAACGGG